UCCAGAAACGUGACUGACAAAUGAAGCAUAAACUAUGUUCUAUUACUCAUCCUGCACCACAAUGGGUAUAUUCAAACUUCUUUCUUGGCCUGUGUCUGCUUGAGGCGCUCAGAUUGGUAAAUGGCUCUGUCAAGACGUCCGCGACUGAGAAAGACAGCAGCAGUGUAAAACCAAGCACACGUCCAUACGAACAGAUGCAGGUGGAUGUGAAAGCUUAUAGACUCGGCAUUUCCAUUCAGAAGAUACAAAUGAACCUGCAGAGUUAAUCAUGCUUCUGUGCAAGGCAACAUGGAGAGAGACAGAUCGUGGUCACGCUGCUGAACAGAAGCGAGCCAGAGUCAGUGGAAAGAAAUGGGCACUUCUGCUGCAGGACCCAUCUGAUGUAUUCGGACCCCCC